CCUACGGGGGGCAGCAGUGGGGAAUAUUGCACAAUGGGGGAAACCCUGAUGCAGCGACGCCGCGUGAGCGAAGAAGUAUUUCGGUAUGUAAAGCUCUAUCAGCAGGGAAGAAACUGACGGUACCUGACUAAGAAGCACCGGCUAAAUACGUGCCAGCAGCCGCGGUAAUACGUAUGGUGCAAGCGUUAUCCGGAUUUACUGGGUGUAAAGGGAGCGUAGACGGAUAGGCAAGUCUGGAGUGAAAGCCCGGGGCUCAACCCCGGGACUGCUUUGGAAACUGUUUAUCUAGAGUGCUGGAGAGGUAAGUGGAAUUCCUAGUGUAGCGGUGAAAUGCGUAGAUAUUAGGAGGAACACCAGUGGCGAAGGCGGCUUACUGGACAGUAACUGACGUUGAGGCUCGAAAGCGUGGGGAGCAAACAGGAUUAGAUACCCCAGUAGUC
rnacentral:rRNA from 1 species